rnacentral:lncRNA from 1 species
UGUGUAUAUAUAUAUAUAUAGAGAGAGAGAGAGAGAGAGAGAGAGUGAGGGAGUUGAGCUAGAAUACUCUCAAAAGCACCAAAUGAGUGGUGUUUUUGAGUUUUUAACUAUUGGAUGAAGAGAUGUAGGAUUGAGAUGAUGGUGGUAGGUGAUGGUAGGUGGAAUAGUAUUUGAUCCAAAGACUAUUAAUAAUCAAGGAGUAAAUCCAAGGGUUAGAAACCUAGAAGCACAAAGGGCUUGGUGCUUCUAAAAGUAUUCUAGCUCAAUUUUAUAUAUAUAUAUAUAUAGAACUAGGCUACUAUGCUAUUAAUAGCAUAAAGUCAUUGGUUGUAAUAUACUGAAUCUGGGCCUAUUGACAAGUUCAAGGGUUGGAAUGGCUUUUGGAACUGAUCUACGACGUUUGAUAGAUUUUAGAAAGGUUUUGACAAGUUACUGAAGUGAGAAAAUAACUGGAAUUGAAAAAUUGCAUCGCAAAUGCAUUAUCAAUUGCAAUGCUUCGAAUUUGGUCAAUUGCGAAGUUCGAAUGUGGGAAAUGGUAAAUGAAAUUGCCCUACAUAUUCUAAAGGGUUUGGACAACUUUCUGGACAAGUUAGAGGGUGAUUGGAAAGUUAAAAGCAUGAAAGUGCAUUGAUCUGACGAAAUUCAGUAUUUUCUGCAUUGUAUACCGGUACAGCCAUCA